CCACUGGGGAUCGAGCCCGCAACCCGGCCUGUGCCCUGACCAGGCAUCGAACCGUGACUCCUGGUUCCUAGGUCGACUCUCAGCCACUGAGCCACGCCGGCUGGGCAUGCCUGGUCUGUCUUAAAGGCCCCAGGCAUCGCUGACCACGAGGCCAGAAACAGUCUCCCCUGGGCACCCGACUAAGCCAGGUCUGGGCCAUCGAGCUGGGCCGACUUGGUCCAGGGCGGGGCAAGCUGAACAGAUGUGGCCACAGCCACUGUUGCCUCAGAACACAGGGUCCUUUGCUAAGUAAUUGGCCAAUUAACUGCAAGAUCAGAAGUCUUUGUUGAAACGCGUUUCCAUCACUGCUUCAAACACCCGCCGUCUCUGCAAACACGAUUAUGUACAGCCUGGAACCAUGUGGCCGGGCGGGAAGGACCCUGGUCCUGCGGUUUCUCCAUCAUGGAGGCUCCUCGCGUGGCUGAGGCUGCUGCUCCCCUUUUGUCGCCAGAGAAUCACCAGCGAUUACACUUGAACCUGCUUGGUCUAAGGCAGCGGUCGCCAACCCUUCGGACCUCACGGGUCACCGACCCUGGAACAGCGGUCAGAUUUUGAAGCUACGGAUGUUCAGGAUUCCAGGAACAAAGCUGUCCAAAACCAGCAUGGCGCCCAGGGUUCCUGUGAACUGGACGACGACCGGACGGCACUGCACACCGUUACGGGGAGCAGAGGGAGCGCGGCCGGUGCAUCUGACUCGUAACCGCCCGCAGAGCUGCCCCCCGCGGGGUUGGCUGCAGAGGCGCACCCCCGGGGAGCCCCUGGCCCAGCGAGACGGCCGGUCAGGGCAGAAGCAGAAGGCUGGCCAGGCCUUGGAGGGUUGACUGGCUCCAGGUUUCAACACGAGGGGCCCGUGUCCCCCUCAGAACGCUCCCCUCCAGUGGGUGCCCUUUGGCCCCGCCCCACACUGGCGGCUGCCUCUGCUCUCGGCCCCUCCAGUCCCUGGAAGGGGGUUGAGAAAGCGGGUCCCAGGGAGGCGGGCGUUGCACUGGCUCCAGACGACUGGAUUCCUAGACGCCGUGCCCUCCGCGCACUCGGCUCUCCCUCCUCACACGCCGGGCCCAGGCUCUGGUGGGCUCGGGGGAGUGGCUGCCAGCUCACCGCCCCGGCAGCUGGCCUCCUGGCACGGCCGUGCCUGUGAGUGGAGGGCCUGGCAGAGCAGGAAGUGCCAGGAUAGAGAGCGGGAGGCGGGCGCCACGCCAGGGCACCAGGCCAAACCCCGUGGUGAGGGGUUCCUCCACCAUCUGCCCCGGCAAACAGCAGAAGCGUCUUAUCCGAGAGCAUUUGUUUCCAACAUCCUGCGGUUUUCACGGACACAAUUUCCACGAUGGACACUGGAAAGCCGCCUCUCCUCUGAGUGGCUUCCCAUGACGGCCAUGCCCUGUGGGGCUUGGGCUGGAGCAGAGCUGGGCUCCCGUCUCGCUGAGCCCUCUCGCUCUGACCACAGGAAACCAGUCCACAAGUGCAGGUGGUUCCCCAAGUCCCCGGGCGAGAGGAGCCACGGUGAGAACUGACUGCACGGAGCACGCGCUUAAGCAAUCCAUGCAGACAGGCAGGAUGUGAGGGCACAGAGCAGGGCCAGCUCCGCGCGCGUUAAAACAGGACCAAGGCCCAGAACACAACCACCUACAGUCUCUUCCUGUCUGCUUCCCGCCGCCUGCGAGGCCUUUGACCCUGUGCACCCCUCGGAGAGCACCCCUCAGAGCGCCGUUCAUUCUGCCGGAUGUCACGCUGCUGGGUCCCUGAACAGCUGCACGAAGCCAACAAGGUCUAACGUUCGUCACAGCGAGGCUGCGGGGCGAGCAGGUCUAGUUUGGGGCUCAGCUCCCUGUGGACUCAGCAUGUGCCCCCGGGCUGUCCGCAGACCCACACACCCCAGGUUCCUGACCCUCAGCCCCAGGACAGGAGCUGGGGCGGACAGUAGGGACCCGCCCGUCCUGGCUUGAAGGGCGCGCUGGUCCUGGUCACCGGGGCCGGGGACUUCCAUGCCUGUGGUACGUAAGGGGACCAGGGGACCUGGCGCCUCUUACUGCCGGUCCCCUGUACGUUCUGUGGGGCUCGAGGAUGGCUUUCCUGCGGCUCCACCUGCUCUCACAGCCCUGAGUGGCUUUCCCAGUUCCCGGCCCUCCUCCCCCCCAAGCACCACGGCAGUGAUGGGGCUGUGUGGCCUGGAGGCAGCGUGGUGGCCCCGUCCCUGCAGCGGACGCUGGCUUAGGGUGGGCGUGGGGAGGGGUGUGAGCAAGAGACACAUCGGGAAGAGACUGGGAGCCAGGGGGAUGCGGCCAGCAGCGCCUCGGGCCGGGGGCGAGCUUGCGCAGGGACACCCACCACGAUGCCGCCCGGAAGAGACCGACAUCCGCCCCGCGGACUCUGAGUCGUCGUGCCUGCGGCCACACCUGCCGCCUCUCCUGGGGCUGCAUCAUGCGGUCUAGGCCAGGCCUGUGCUGCCAGGUGCGUGCUCCCACGCGAACAGCAGUGCAGCCAGGCCUGUGCAGCCAGGUGAGUGCUCCCACGCGAACAGCAGUGCAGCCAGGCCUGUGCGGCCAGGUGAGUGCUCCCACGCGAACAGCAGUGCAGCCAGGCCUGUGCGGCCAGGUGAGUGCUCCCACGCGAACAGCAGUGCAGCCAGGCCUGUGCGGCCAGGUGAGUGCUCCCACGCGAACAGCAGUGCAGCCAGGCCUGUGCGGCCAGGUGAGUGCUCCCACGCGAACAGCAGUGCAGCCCGGCCUGUGCGGCCAGGUGAGUGCUCCCACGCGAACAGCAGUGCAGCCCGGCCUGUGCGGCCAGGUGAGUGCUCCCACGCGAACAGCAGUGCAGCCAGGCCAGGUGGCCGUGACGAGGGAGGGCGUGCAGCGAGGGGCGUGGGGUACGGCCCAGCACGUGUCAGACACGCCAGCGGCCCUCCCUGCGCUGCUGCAGGAGGACGGACGGGGAGGGACAUGCCCCGCCGCCUCAGCCCGCCCUCAGGCCUAAGCGCUUAAUCAUUUCUCGUGCAUCCUUAGAGCAACUUUUACAAAAUAACACACUACACACUUUUCCAGCUCCGAGAGAUGUCCUCCUGGAAAUGCUGGUGCCGAGAGCCACCGCCAACACCGACGGAAACACCUCCCGCCAGGAGUCCGCUCCCCGGAUCACCUUCCCAGGCUUGGAACUGCCUUCUGCGGGAGCCCCUGGCCUUUCAGAGCCUCUCGGCCAGCGGUUCUCAACCUGUGGGUCGCGAUCCCUUUGGGGGUCGAACGACCCUUUCACAGGGGUCGCCUAAGACCAUUGGAAAA